rnacentral:lncRNA from 1 species
UAAUACAUAUAUACAGAGAGAGAGAGAGAGAGAGAGAGUUGAGCUGAAAUGCUAUCAACAGUAAACGAACUUCGAUUCCACCCAUUUAUUUUUGAUGAUGGAGUUUUCAAAUCGACAAUCGGCACUGUUGCACAUAAUCUAUACCACUUAGAAGUAUCUAGAAAUUAAAUUUCAAAUCUUUUCGAAAUUAUUGACCUAAUGAUUAAAGGGUUUCAAAACUUGUAAUUUUAAUAGUCGAUAUGAGAUGUUUUCUUAUUUAACGGUACAUACAAAGACAUUCAAAUCAAUUGAAUUUUAGUUAGAAAAUUUUUUAAACAAUUUAGAACAAGAUCUAUACUCUCGAUCUUGAUUACAAGAUUUCUAUUAUCAUUGUUUUAAAAGAUAUUUAUUUUUAGCCGUUUAUUUUGUAUUCACUUAAUGGACACACAAGAGAAUAAUAUCAAAAAAAUAUGAAAUUUAAUUUCUAAAUAUUUUAAGUAGUAUAUAUAUAUAUAUAUAUAUAGAAACAAAAAAAAAAUAAUAAUAAUAAUAAGUA